UUCCAGCUCUGUACUUGGGUGCAGGGGUAGGAUCUGGGCUCCUUGUGCUGCUGUUACUGCUGACAGGAGGAGUGCUGAAGUGUCUGCAAUCCAAACGAGACCCUGCUGUCCAGACUGAACCUGUGUACACCAUGGUGAAUCUGCCCAAGCAGCCUUCAAAGCAACAGGAUGACACCCUCACCUACUCAGAAAUAAACACUGCUCGUGUCACCAAGAAGAAACCCAGAUCUGCACCUGAUCAAGACAAUGUAACAUAUGCAACAGUUAAAACUGCCACAUACUGAUAACCACUGGGAAAAAUGAAUGUUGUUUUGAAAAAUACCGGAAUAUUCAAUUAAUCAAAUUGAUCUUUCACUUUUAUCUACAUACUCUCUGCUUUCAUACCUACCAGAACGAUCAUACAGUCCUGUCAGUGGGAGACACUUUAGUUCUUGUCUCAGAACUGACAAACCAUUGGAGAUAAAUAAUCUAGGAGGCUGUGGGGAAAUGUGUGAAACAAUAGAAGACACAUUGAUAACACACUGGCAUCAAUGCUGGGAGGCAAGCAUUUCUAUGAAACCUUUUUGCGCAUGUUCUAGUGUUUAAAGAGCCAGUAGUAUACGUUGUGUUUCCCUGUAGGAGUGCUGGAUUCUUAAUCAAAGCCAACACACAAUGCAUUUCUUAAUCAAAGCCAACACACAAUGCAUUUCUUAAUCAAAGCUAACACACAAUGCAUUUGUUUUGGUCGACCAUUCUGGGUUGGUCUGGGUGGUGUUGCUUCAGUAUUACAUUCUAAUCAUUUCUCUGUAAAUCUUACCUGGCUUUGAGGAUCCAGGACUGAACAACCUGCCUCAUUCCUUGCAAAUCAUGUGACAACAUGACCGUUCAACUGUGCCAGCCCCACUAACUCUAAAUGACAAAAUCUGUUCCAAAUUCUCAAUGAACUGAGGUGUGGUGUGAAUGCAAUCGGGUCUAAAAUUAGAUUAAUUUAGCAACAAACGAUAUCUGAAAAGGUCCUAAAAUGUUUACUAUUUUUAAAGCAAAACUAGUUCAGUAAAAUGAAUCUAAUUCAAUUAUUUUCACUUUUUUCCAGACUGAGUUGGGUUCAUUUAGAAUAGUCUCAACAGUGAAACUGGAUUGAAAAGCUUGCAAUGGUACUCACAUGGCAGUGGUAAUCUGAUGUGAAUUCAUAGCAUAGGGAUGGGAAAAUAAUUGGAAACUGCAAGAGUAAAGUGCAACUAUUAUUAACAUUUAUAUUCAGUGUGUGUCGGGUUAGAAAACAUAUGUGAAGUUUGGUGGGCUCAACUUAGCCCUCUAUAAGCAUUCAUUAUCAAGCAAUUCUGUACAACUGCCAGUGUGCUUGAGAGGGGCACAGGACUGAAUGUCCAGCCUGUAAUUUGUUUAGAAUGGUAAAUGGUAUUCUUUCCUUUCAAAAGAACUUGAUAACAGCUUUGAGAACCUGAUCUGUUGUGAAUGGAAAUCAGCAAUGAUUCAUAUUUCCUCUUAUUCAUGUGUUUCCUGUUCAUACUGUAAAACAAUUAUAUGUAUUUUAAUAACCAGCAGCGGGUUACACAGACCCCAGUGAGCAGCACUGCUAGAUUACCUUACCUAAGGGACACAUGAUUAGUGCUAAUGUGAGUCUAAUCAAUCAACCACAUCUCUGAGCUACAGCCCCUUCAGCAUUGCUCUGUAUGUAUUUAACUUCAUUGUUAUAAAGUGUACAAAAUGUA